rnacentral:rRNA from 1 species
AGAGUUUGAUCCUGGCUCAGAACGAACGCUGGCGGCGUGCCUAACACAUGCAAGUCGAACGGAUUUGAGGGGCUUGCUCCUCAAGUUAGUGGCGCACGGGGGAGUAACGCGUAGAUAAUCUGCCUGACGAUCUGGGAUAACACUUCGAAAGGGGUGCUAAUACCGGAUAAGCCCACGGAGUCUUUGGACUUUGCGGGAAAAGGGGGGGACCUUCGGGCCUUCUGUCGUCAGAUGAGUCUGCGUACCAUUAGCUAGUUGGUAGGGUAAAGGCCUACCAAGGCUACGAUGGUUAGCUGGUCUGAGAGGAUGAUCAGCCACACUGGAACUGAGACACGGUCCAGACUCCUACGGGAGGCAGCAGUGGGGAAUUUUGCGCAAUGGGCGAAAGCCUGACGCAGCAACGCCGCGUGAGUGAUGAAGGCUUUCGGGUCGUAAAGCUCUGUCGAUGGGAAAGAAGUGUAUUGUGGUUAAUACCCAUGAUACUUGACGGUACCCAUAAAGGAAGCACCGGCUAACUCCGUGCCAGCAGCCGCGGUAAUACGGGGGGUGCAAGCGUUGUUCGGAAUUAUUGGGCGUAAAGCGCGUGUAGGCGGUUUGAUUAGUCUGAUGUGAAAGCCCUGGGCUCAACCCAGGAAGUGCAUUGGAAACUGGCAGACUUGAAUACGGGAGGGGGUGAUGGAAUUCCGGUGUAGCGGUGAAAUGCGUAGAUAUCAAGAGGAACACCGGUGGCGAAAGCGACUCUCUAGACUGAUACUGACACUGAGGCAUGAAAGCUAGGGGAGCAAACAGGAUUAGAUACCCUGGUAGUCCUAGCCGUAAACGGUGUGAACUUGGUGUGGGAGGAAUUAUCCCCUUCCGUGCCGUAGCUAACGCGUUAAGUGUACCGCCUGGGGAGUACGGCCGCAAGGUUAAAACUCAAAGAAAUUGACGGGGGCCCGCACAAGCGGUGGAGCAUGUGGCUUAAUUCGAUGCAACGCGAAGAACCUUACCUGGGCUUGACAUGUAACUGCACGCCCCGUGAAAAUGGGGCUCCUUCGAGGGUGUUGCACAGGUGCUGCAUGGCUGUCGUCAGUUCGUGCCGUGAGGUGUUGGGUUAAGUCCCGCAACGAAC